UCCGGUUGAUCCUGCCGGAGGCCACUGCUAUGGGGGUCCGACUAAGCCAUGCGAGUCAUGGGGCGCCUUGCGCGCACCGGCGGACGGCUCAGUAACACGUCGGUAACCUACCCUCGGGAGGGGGAUAACCCCGGGAAACUGGGGCUAAUCCCCCGUAGGCCUGAGGUACUGGAAGGUCCUCAGGCCGAAAGGGUCUUUGACCGCCCGAGGAUGGGCCGGCGGCCGAUUAGGUAGUUGGUGGGGUAACGGCCCACCAAGCCGAAGAUCGGUACGGGCCAUGAGAGUGGGAGCCCGGAGAUGGACACUGAGACACGGGUCCAGGCCCUACGGGGCGCAGCAGGCGCGAAACCUCCGCAAUGCUCGAAAGAGCGACGGGGGGACCCCCAGUGCCGUGGCAUCGCCACGGCUUUUCCGGAGUGUAAAGAGCUCCGGGAAUAAGGGCUGGGCAAGGCCGGUGGCAGCCGCCGCGGUAAUACCGGCGGCCCGAGUGGUGGCCGCUAUUAUUGGGCCUAAAGCGUCCGUAGCCGGGCCAGUAAGUCCCUGGCGAAAUCCCACGGCUCAACCGUGGGGCUUGCUGGGGAUACUGCUGGCCUUGGGACCGGGAGAGGCGGAGGGUACUCCUGUGGUAGGGGUGAAAUCCUAUA
rnacentral:rRNA from 1 species